AGAGUUUGAUCAUGGCUCAGGACGAACGCUGGCGGCGUGCUUAACACAUGCAAGUCGAACGGUGAAGCCCAGCUUGCUGGGUGGAUCAGUGGCGAACGGGUGAGUAACACGUGAGCAACCUGCCCUCCACUUCGGGAUAAGCCUUGGAAACGGGGUCUAAUACCGGAUAUGAGCACUCACUGCAUGGUGGGUGUUGGAGAGUUUUUCGGUGGGGGAUGGGCUCGCGGCCUAUCAGCUUGUUGGUGGGGUAAUGGCCUACCAAGGCGUCGACGGGUAGCCGGCCUGAGAGGGCGACCGGCCACACUGGGACUGAGACACGGCCCAGACUCCUACGGGAGGCAGCAGUGGGGAAUAUUGCACAAUGGGCGAAAGCCUGAUGCAGCGACGCCGCGUGAGGGAUGACGGCCUUCGGGUUGUAAACCUCUUUCAGCAGGGAAGAAGCGCAAGUGACGGUACCUGCAGAAGAAGCGCCGGCUAACUACGUGCCAGCAGCCGCGGUAAUACGUAGGGCGCAAGCGUUGUCCGGAAUUAUUGGGCGUAAAGAGCUCGUAGGCGGUCUGCCGCGUCUGGUGUGAAAUCCCAUGGCUCAACUGUGGGCUUGCAUCGGGUACGGGCAGACUAGAGUGCUGUAGGGGAGACUGGAAUUCCUGGUGUAGCGGUGGAAUGCGCAGAUAUCAGGAGGAACACCGAUGGCGAAGGCAGGUCUCUGGGCAGUUACUGACGCUGAGGAGCGAAAGCAUGGGGAGCGAACAGGAUUAGAUACCCUGGUAGUCCAUGCCGUAAACGUUGGGCACUAGGUGUGGGGCCAGUUCCACUGGUUUCUGUGCCGUAGCUAACGCAUUAAGUGCCCCGCCUGGGGAGUACGGCCGCAAGGCUAAAACUCAAAGGAAUUGACGG
rnacentral:rRNA from 1 species